GACGAACGCUGGCGGCGUGCUUAACACAUGCAAGUCGAACGGAAAGGCCCUGCUUGCAGGGUCCUCGAGUGGCGAACGGGUGAGUAACACGUGGGUGAUCUGCCCUGCACUUCGGGAUAAGCCUGGGAAACUGGGUCUAAUACCGGAUAGGAGCCAUUUUUAGUGUGAUGGUUGGAAAGUUUUUUCGGUGUAGGAUGAGCUCGCGGCCUAUCAGCUUGUUGGUGGGGUAAUGGCCUACCAAGGCGGCGACGGGUAGCCGGCCUGAGAGGGUGGACGGCCACAUUGGGACUGAGAUACGGCCCAGACUCCUACGGGAGGCAGCAGUGGGGAAUAUUGCACAAGGGGCGCAAGCCUGAUGCAGCGACGCCGCGUGGGGGAUGACGGCCUUCGGGUUGUAAACUCCGUUCGCUAGGGACGAAGCUUUUUGUGACGGUACCUAGAUAAGAAGCACCGGCUAACUACGUG
rnacentral:rRNA from 1 species